rnacentral:rRNA from 1 species
GACGAACGCUGGCGGCGUGCCUAAUACAUGCAAGUAGAACGCACAGUUUAUACCGUAGCUUGCUCCACCAUAGACUGUGAGUUGCGAACGGGUGAGUAACGCGUAGGUAACCUGCCUGGUAGCGGGGGAUAACUAUUGGAAACGAUAGCUAAUACCGCAUAAUAUUGAUUAUUGCAUGAUAAUUAAUUGAAAGGUGCAAUUGCACCACUACCAGAUGGACCUGCGUUGUAUUAGCUAGUAGGUGAGGUAACGGCUCACCUAGGCGACGAUACAUAGCCGACCUGAGAGGGUGAUCGGCCACACUGGGACUGAGACACGGCCCAGACUCCUACGGGAGGCAGCAGUAGGGAAUCUUCGGCAAUGGACGAAAGUCUGACCGAGCAACGCCGCGUGAGUGAAGAAGGUUUUCGGAUCGUAAAGCUCUGUUGUAAGAGAAGAACGGGUGUGAGAGUGGAAAGUUCACGCUGUGACGGUAUCUUACCAGAAAGGGACGGCUAACUACGUG